CGACCGCGACCCCAGGACAGGCGGGACUACCCGCUGAGUUUAAGCAUAUCAAUAAGCCGGAGGA
rnacentral:rRNA from 1 species